rnacentral:rRNA from 1 species
UACGGGGGGGGCAAGCGUUGUUCGGAAUUACUGGGCGUAAAGGGUGCGUAGGCGGCGCGGUAAGUCGGGUGUGAAAUCUCGGAGCUUAACUCCGAAACUGCAUUCGAUACUGCCGUGCUUGAGGACUGGAGAGGAGACUGGAAUUUACGGUGUAGCGGUGAAAUGCGUAGAUAUCGUAAGGAAGACCAGUGGCGAAGGCGAGUCUCUGGACAGUUGCUGACACUGAGGCACGAAGGCCAGGGGAGCAAACGGG